rnacentral:lncRNA from 1 species
UUUAAUGUUUAGUCUUAGGAGCUGUAUUGUUUGAAUGGUGGUCUUUAUCAUUUCUUGCAUGAACUUUUAUGUUCUUUUGUUUAAACAUUCAUUUAUACGUCGUAAAGGGAUGUUGCUUUUGUUGGUUGGACUGCAUCUAUUGACAUCAAUUUUGUAACAAACUUUCUUGCUUUAUUUUACUUCUCUGUUUUUAUUUUUUUCUUUUCUCUUUUAAAUGUUUUCUUUUAUUUUUUAUUAUUAUUGUUUAGUUUUGUAUUUGGUUAUUUUUUUGGUUUAGUUGUUUUUAGAUGUUUAGGGUUAUCUUCUUAGCUGGUUCUCCAUACUUUCUUGCUCGUUUGAGUUUUGUUUUGUUUUGUUUUUUGCUCAUCUCUCAUUUUUCUUUCUUGGAAAUUUAUUUAUUUAUUUUUGGUCUUCUUCUUGUUUCGACGUUGCUAUUUUUCUGGUUCUUCUUCUAUGUUUGGUCAUCAUUUUUUUUAUUUGUAGGGGUGGCUGGUGGUGUGCUUUGCAUUGGUGGAGGUGAUGGUGUCCUUGAUCUAUCUCAUCUUCAGGCUUUUUUGAUCAGCUGUUUUGGCUUUGGGUUAAAUUUUGGAGUAACAUUGGCUGGGUUGCCUUCGUUUUCUUCUGUUUGUGAUCUCCUCUAGAAUCAUAUCAUUUGGUGGGUUUCCCUUUGACUGGUUUUGGUGUAAUUUAGUGUUGUUCUUGUUUCAGGGUGGUUUGCAUCGUUUUUUAGACUGUGGGGGUUGAAGGAGCAGAGUGAUGUCUCCCCUCUUUUGUAUAUGUUGGGAAGGUGGUCCGUGUUGUUUCUUUGUAGGCUCCUUGUGGGCGCUCAUUAUGGCAGAAAAUCUUAAUGCAAUGAUGGCUAGAUUGACAUUUUCAGAAAUUGACAUUAAGAGGUUGGUGUGUCAAAAUAUGUCAACAUCGAAUUUGCAGGGC